GGAGUCGGGCAGGCUGUCGCCCCGCACUCACUUUGCCCUGGAAAUUGAUCUUCUUGAGACCUUUUUCCCAGGCAAAGUGAGUGCGGGGAGGAAAGUCCGGGCUCCAUAGGGCAGGACGCUGGAUAACGUCCAGUGGGGGUGACCCCGGGAAAGUGCCACAGAAAGCAGACCGCCCCGCACUCAGUUUGCCCAGGGAAAGUGUCUCGAAAUGACAUUUCACCAGGGCAAACUGAGUGCGGGGUAAGGGUGAAACGGUGGGGUAAGAGCCCACCAGUUGCCGUGGUGACGCGGCAAGCUCGGCAAACCCCGUUCGGAGCAAGACCAAAUAGGAGGACGCCUGAGGCCGGCCCGGCCAAGGUCCUCGGGUAGGUUGCUGGAGGCCGGAAGCAAUUCCGGUCCAAGAGGAAUGACAGCCGCCCCGCGCUUUCUUUGCCGUGAACAUCUAUCAAUGAACAAGAGGAUGGCAGUGGCAAAGUGAGCGCGGGGAGACAGAACCCGGCUUAUCGCCCGACUCCCCUU
rnacentral:RNase_P_RNA from 1 species